rnacentral:lncRNA from 1 species
AUGAGGAGGCACGUCAGCGAAGCAGGCACGAGAGGCAGCACGGGUAGAUUGGCGGAGUCUGAGUUUAGACCUGAGCCAUCUCCCCGUGCUUGCCAUGGCAAACGUCAUACUGGUCAGGCACUGUGUUAUGCGGUGGAGCGCGUUCACAGCCCCGUGCACUACAUCCCAGCUCCCCGCAUCUGCCGGGCUAGAGUGAGAAUCCAGCCAGGACGGAUGGUGCCAGCUCAGCGCGCCUGGUCUCCAGUGCGUCUCUUCAGCCCAGGAUAUCCUGCGCCGGCUCUGUGCACUGUGUCUCCGGUACGUCUGCACAGCCCAGUGCGCAUUUGCAGGGCGAAGAUAACCACCCAGCCAGGACAGGUUGUGCAGGCUCUAAGCUCGAGACCUCCAGUGCGCCUCCACAGCCCAGUGUAUCCGGUGCCUCUGCCCAGAACUAAGCCUCCUGUAUGUCUCCCCAGCCUGGUGAGUCCUGUGCCUGCUCCCAGAACCAGGCCUCCUGUGUGUCUCUCCACUCAAGUGAUGACCCAUGGCACGAAGCCUGCAGUGAUGAUCKAUGGCACGAAGCCUCCAGUGAUGAUCCAUGGCACGAAGCCUCCAGUGGUGAUCCAUGGCAKGAAGCCUCCAGUGYUGAUCCAUGGCACGAAGCCUCCAGUGYUGAUCCAUGGCACGAAGCCUCCAGUGGUGAUCCAUGGCACGAAGCCUCCAGUGGUGAUCCAUGGCACGAAGCCUCCAGUGGUGAUCCAUGGCACGAAGCCUCCAGUGGUGAUCCAUGGCACGAAGCCUCCAGUGGUGAUCCAUGGCACGAAGCCUCCAGUGGUGAUCCAUGGCACGAAGCCUCCAGUGGGGAGUCAUGGCACGAAGCCUCCAGCGACGUCCUCCAGUCCGGAGCCUCCAGCAACGGCCUCCAGUCCUAGGCCCGCAGUGAGGGUGCCCAGUCCGGGGCCCGCAGCGAGGGUCCCCACACCAGAGGCGCCACCAAAGCGGGGUGAGCCAGAGAUGGAGUGGGGAGGUGGAGCCGCCACCGAGGAUAGAUGCCCACCCGGACCCUCCCCUAUAGGUUCAGGUUUUACCAUCACCCUCUACUUCAUCAAUGUUGUGCUGAUAGAAUCCCUUCUUUCCUUUGUUUAG